GGAGGCCUCACAAUCAUGGCGGAAGGUGCAGGAGGAGCAAAGGCAUGCCUUACAUGGCAGCAGGCAAGAGAGAAGUGCAGAGCAAAAGGGGGAAAAGCCCCCUAUAAAACCCUCAGAUCUCACGAGAACUCACCCACUAUCAUGAGAACAGCUUGGGGUAACUGCCCCCACGAUUCAGUUACCUCCCACUGAGUCCCUUGUACACACAUGGGGAUUAUGGGAACUACAAUUCAAGAUGAGAUUUGGAUGGGAAUAUAGCCCAAACCAUGUCACCUUUAUUUUCAAAGUGUAUUCUAAUCUCUGAUUGUUUUAAAAAAGACCUCUUAAUAUCCAUGGCUAAAGCAAGUUUUGAUAUUGCAUCUCUUAAACUAUGAAAUGUUUGGAAACACAGAUGCAGUUACAAAGCUGUAGAAACAUUGCUAUUCCCAUCCAUCCUUAAUGUUCAGUGUGUCUCUGCCCUAAGCAGGAAGCUCAGAAAUCUCCGAGCCUUCAAAUAAGAGGUGGUAGUUUUCCUCUGCGUGUAGCAUAUUUUAUAUUUAGUCCAUGCAUACCAGUAUCUCUUGAUUAUAAAGUGACAAAGAGCAGUGGGGUAAUAAAAACAUCUCAGAGUUGUUAAUAUUGAGAAACAAAUGGGAGCCAAAGCCGUCCACAUGCAAAGUGCUUGUUCCAGCAUCUGGCCUUUGGUAAAUUAGAACCAGUCAGUUGUUGUAUAACUGGUCCCAGUGGCUUUGUACAAAUCAUAUGCAUUUAUGUAACCCAGAGUAUCAUGAUAAUGUGGUCAUUUCUAUUUGUUCAUAAUGUUCUAUUUAUUCUAACUAUACCAUGUAAGGCAUACUGUGUUCCCUGAGAUACUUUUGUUAUCCCCACUUAAUAAGAGAAGUAAAAUGAAGCUCAGAGAAGUUAUGUCACCGGUACAGGAUGAAGCUGACUUGCAGCCAAGGCUUCGCCUCCAGCACCAUGGCCCUAGAUGUGGUGGCCUCACCUUAUUGACUGAGUUGCUUUCCCUGAUCUAUGAAGAUACAUAGUGAGCCAGUGAGAGCUUAAAAAAACUGUGAGCCAAUUUUGCAAGCACCUCUGGCAAGAUGUCGUGGUGGUCUAGAGGGGCUGUCACACAAUGCAGCUGGAGGAAGGUGAGGGUAUACCUCGGCCGUCCUCAUCGUCCCUCCUUCUUUCUUGUCCUGGUGCCCAGGGAUUGCUGUAGUAACAGUACAGGUCCCUCUGGAAUCCCGGGGGAACCGAAUAUUGGUAAACGAAGAGGUGAUGUGGCUGGUGGAGAAGAGGAUAUGGAGAUGGCAUAACACAAGCCCCAUGGACCCCCAGCUCCAGGCUGAGCCUGUGUGGACCACAGCACUGUGAUCCAGGUGUCCUCCUGCCUCCUGCCAUCUUUUGGAUUGUUUGGAAGCUCAAUUCAAAUUAUUCACGAAAACUCAAAUAUUUGUUUCCUAUUAAAAAAAAAAGUCUUCUUUUUAAAACAAACUCUGAGAUUGACCAAGGCACACAGAUGCCCUGGAGCUUCCUCCCCAACUCCACUGGGCUAUUCUCUCCCUUGCAGUUCAGCUGCUGCUUCCUUCCAUGCCAAAGAGCAUCCCCAUCUCCAACUCGUCCUUUCUCCUUUGUGCAUUAAAACAACUUGAGAUCCUCAGAAUGGACUGCUCCCCAAACUAAAACAAAAAAAUGCAAGCAUAAUAAAAUGCAUAGAAAGG
rnacentral:lncRNA from 1 species